rnacentral:rRNA from 1 species
UAGCAAGGUUAACCGAAUAGGGGAGCCGAAGGGAAACCGAGUCUUAACUGGGCGUUAAGUUGCAGGGUAUAGACCCGAAACCCGGUGAUCUAGCCAUGGGCAGGUUGAAGGUUGGGUAACACUAACUGGAGGACCGAACCGACUAAUGUUGAAAAAUUAGCGGAUGACUUGUGGCUGGGGGUGAAAGGCCAAUCAAACCGGGAGAUAGCUGGUUCUCCCCGAAAGCUAUUUAGGUAGCGCCUCGUGAAUUCAUCUCCGGGGGUAGAGCACUGUUUCGGCAAGGGGGUCAUCCCGACUUACCAACCCGAUGCAAACUGCGAAUACCGGAGAAUGUUAUCACGGGAGACACACGGCGGGUGCUAACGUCCGUCGUGAAGAGGGAAACAACCCAGACCGCCAGCUAAGGUCCCAAAGUCAUGGUUAAGUGGGAAACGAUGUGGGAAGGCCCAGACAGCCAGGAUGUUGGCUUAGAAGCAGCCAUCAUUUAAAGAAAGCGUAAUAGCUCACUGGUCGAGUCGGCCUGCGCGGAAGAUGUAACGGGGCUAAACCAUGCACCGAAGCUGCGGCAGCGACGCUGAUGCGUUGUUGGGUAGGGGAGCGUUCUGUAAGCCUGUGAAGGUGUGCUGUGAGGCAUGCUGGAGGUAUCAGAAGUGCGAAUGCUGACAUAAGUAACGAUAAAGCGGGUGAAAAGCCCGCUCGCCGGAAGACCAAGGGUUCCUGUCCAACGUUAAUCGGGGCAGGGUGAGUCGACCCCUAAGGCGAGGCCGAAAGGCGUAGUCGAUGGGAAACAGGUUAAUAUUCCUGUACUUGGUGUUACUGCGAAGGGGGGACGGAGAAGGCUAUGUUGGCCGGGCGACGGUUGUCCCGGUUUAAGCGUGUAGGCUGGUUUUCCAGGCAAAUCCGGAAAACUAAGGCUGAGGCGUGAUGACGAGGCACUACGGUGCUGAAGCAACAAAUGCCCUGCUUCCAGGAAAAGCCUCUAAGCAUCAGGUAACAUCAAAUCGUACCCCAAACCGACACAGGUGGUCAGGUAGAGAAUACCAAGGCGCUUGAGAGAACUCGGGUGAAGGAACUAGGCAAAAUGGUGCCGUAACUUCGGGAGAAGGCACGCUGAUAUGUAGGUGAAGUCCCUCGCGGAUGGAGCUGAAAUCAGUCGAAGAUACCAGCUGGCUGCAACUGUUUAUUAAAAACACAGCACUGUGCAAACACGAAAGUGGACGUAUACGGUGUGACGCCUGCCCGGUGCCGGAAGGUUAAUUGAUGGGGUCAGCGCAAGCGAAGCUCUUGAUCGAAGCCCCGGUAAACGGCGGCCGUAACUAUAACGGUCCUAAGGUAGCGAAAUUCCUUGUCGGGUAAGUUCCGACCUGCACGAAUGGCGUAAUGAUGGCCAGGCUGUCUCCACCCGAGACUCAGUGAAAUUGAACUCGCUGUGAAGAUGCAGUGUACCCGCGGCAAGACGGAAAGACCCCGUGAACCUUUACUAUAGCUUGACACUGAACAUUGAGCCUUGAUGUGUAGGAUAGGUGGGAGGCUUUGAAGUGUGGACGCCAGUCUGCAUGGAGCCGACCUUGAAAUACCACCCUUUAAUGUUUGAUGUUCUAACGUUGACCCGUAAUCCGGGUUGCGGACAGUGUCUGGUGGGUAGUUUGACUGGGGCGGUCUCCUCCUAAAGAGUAACGGAGGAGCACGAAGGUUGGCUAAUCCUGGUCGGACAUCAGGAGGUUAGUGCAAUGGCAUAAGCCAGCUUGACUGCGAGCGUGACGGCGCGAGCAGGUGCGAAAGCAGGUCAUAGUGAUCCGGUGGUUCUGAAUGGAAGGGCCAUCGCUCAACGGAUAAAAGGUACUCCGGGGAUAACAGGCUGAUACCGCCCAAGAGUUCAUAUCGACGGCGGUGUUUGGCACCUCGAUGUCGGCUCAUCACAUCCUGGGGCUGAAGUAGGUCCCAAGGGUAUGGCUGUUCGCCAUUUAAAGUGGUACGCGAGCUGGGUUUAGAACGUCGUGAGACAGUUCGGUCCCUAUCUGCCGUGGGCGCUGGAGAACUGAGGGGGGCUGCUCCUAGUACGAGAGGACCGGAGUGGACGCAUCACUGGUGUUCGGGUUGUCAUGCCAAUGGCACUGCCCGGUAGCUAAAUGCGGAAGAGAUAAGUGCUGAAAGCAUCUAAGCACGAAACUUGCCCCGAGAUGAGUUCUCCCUGACUCCUUGAGAGUCCUGAAGGAACGUUGAAG